rnacentral:rRNA from 1 species
UGGGGAAUAUUGGACAAUGGGCGCAAGCCUGAUCCAGCCAUGCCGCGUGAGUGAUGAAGGCCCUAGGGUUGUAAAGCUCUUUCACCGGUGAAGAUAAUGACGGUAACCGGAGAAGAAGCCCCGGCUAACUUCGUGCCAGCAGCCGCGGUAAUACGAAGGGGGCUAGCGUUGUUCGGAUUUACUGGGCGUAAAGCGCACGUAGGCGGACUUUUAAGUCAGGGGUGAAAUCCCGGGGCUCAACCCCGGAACUGCCUUUGAUACUGGUAAUCUUGAGUUCGAGAGAGGUGAGUGGAAUUCCGAGUGUAGAGGUGAAAUUCGUAGAUAUUCGGAAGAACACCAGUGGCGAAGGCGGCUCACUGGCUCGAUACUGACGCUGAGGUGCGAAAGCGUGGGGAGCAAACAGG